GUAAAGGGAUCCUGGUCCUGAAAGACCGGGCUUUCAACCCGCGUGGUUGAGGGCCGCCUUUACCAGACCCAGCCAUCACCCAUGAGGAGGUGACCUCGAUGGCUACGUUCCGCACAGGACGAAAGGCCCACCCUGGCGUGCUUCCUCAGCGCCAGGCCCUGGA
rnacentral:sRNA from 17 species